rnacentral:sRNA from 1 species
CUUCUUCGAUUUGUUGUGGACAGAUAAAGUGGAUGUGGGAAUCGAUGCCACCUGCGGUCAGUAUGGACCCUUCUCCUGCGAUCACUUCAGUUCCAGGACCAAUAAUGAUGUCCACAUUAGGCUGAACAUCGGGGUUGCCUGCUUUACCUAUGGCGCAGAUGCGACCGUCUUUGACCCCAACAUCGGCUUUCACUAUUCCCCAGUAAUCGAGGACGACCGCGUUGGUGAUCACCAGAUCAGGGGUUUCAGAUGAAGGUCUCUGGCUUUGCCCCAUGCCAUCGCGAAU